UUAAAAAAAAAAAAAAGAACUAUUGUAUCUUGUGUUCAUCUUCCCCCAGAUCCUGAGAGAUGGAAACCAUUACCCUCAAUUGGUCAACAGAAAGGUGGGAAAUGGCUAUAUGAAGAGAUGAUCUCUGAGAACCUUUAAAGGACUAACAUGGCUUGACUGAGACUCGGAGGAACACUAGGUGAUGUGGGGAUUGGCUCCCGUGUGGCCAUACAACAAGAGCCAGAGUGUGGGAGUUACCUGCCUGCAGGGAGAACCUUGGACAGCGAGAAAUGGGAUGUAGGAGGGAGUUGAGCAAAUAAACUCACCCUUUGCUGUGGACUUCCCCGAGUCUUGCAUGUGGACAGGCACGCAGGUUGUUCUCCAGCUGAUGGCAAGUGUUGUCAUGUGUCAUGCAGCAGUGUGUCAUAUAUUUCCUUGCCUAGUUUUACCUUUUUCCUCACCUCACUGUCCAGACUGUGCACCUCUCAUACAAAUAUUAGGAACUGAAACCUUACUUCUGGCUCCACUUUCUAGAAGAUCUGGGCUCAGAAGGUGUUUCUUACAAAUCUGAAAUUCACUUUUAUUGCAAAGCUAAAUUUUGACUUUCAUCUCAUCAGAUAGGACAUCAUACAAAAAGCAACAUCAACUGACCUGUCUAGGACUUAACCACCUCUGUAAUAAACUAAUCACAUUUUCAUAUUAGACAUUAUACAUAAUAAUUUUGAGGUCAUGAAACUGGAGUGGCCUCUUUUUUUUCAUGCACAUUAUGAUAUUGUUAUAGGGGACACUAAUCUCAUGCAUUCCAGGGCACUGAUUAUUAUUGAAGAACAAGUUUGUGGAGGCUUUCUGUCACCUCUGGCAAUUUGUCUUACCCUAGUACAUUCUGACUCCUCCACAAAGGUGGGAAGAAAAAACAGGAGGGUAGUGUCCUGGGAGCUAAGGGAAGGAAGUGUUACUGGAAGGGGAAAAAACAACUCUACUGAAUACUGCUGAGGUUCUGUGAGAUGAAGACAGAAUUUUCCACAGCAUAGAGUAGCAGGGAGACAAGUGUCCUUUACAAGACUGUGUGGCAUGAGCAGGGCUAGAACCAGACUAGAUUUGCUCAGAGUAGUGAAUUGAAGGGGCCACAAUGGUGUAGGUAUAGAUACAAGACAUCAAAUGGUGGCUGGACAGAGAAUCAAAUGAGGGUUUCCACACUGAUGAAGAAUUAUCCAGGAGAGAGGAAAAGAUUGGUGAUUCAAGAGAGAGUAGAUAACAGAAAGCAGUCACAAGAGAAGACAAAGACAUGUGCACCAAACCACAGUUGAAGAGAUUGUCUUCUGGUACAUAUUAUCAUGAGAGCAACAUAUUAGUGUUCUAGGGCUGCCGUAACAAGGUGCCAUGGACUAGGUGGUUUAAAUAACAGAAACACAUUUUCUUAGUUCCAGAGACUGGAAGUUGAGAUCAAGUUGUCAAUAGGGUUGGUUCCUUCUGAGGGUUGUGAGAGAUGGACCUCUUUCCUUUGCCUGUACAUCUGUCUUUUCUUUGGGUGUUCAGGUGGUCUUACUCUGUGCAUGCAUGUCUCUGGGACACCAGUCAUAUUGGGUUAGGGGCCAGUGUAAUGUAAUCAUUUUAAAUUAAUUAUCUCCAUAAAGACCCUGUGUUCAAAUGUAGUUACUGUCUAAGUCCAUUCAAGCUGCUGUAAGAAAAAUACAAUAGAUCCUACUUAUAUAUGGAAUCUUAAAAACAACAAAGAAACACACAGAAAACAAAAAAAACAAAACCCAACCCAAACAAAAAACUGAACUUGUAGAUAUAGAGAACAACUUGGCAUUUGCUGGAGGCUGAGAUUGGUGGGGGUGGGGGGGAUGAGGACA